GAAGAGAACUGGAAAGUUCCACCGUAGAAGGUAAUAGUCCUGUAAGUGAAACGAGAAGACCACGAGUUAUGAUCCAGAGUACCACGAGACACGUGAAACCUUGUGGGAAGCAGGGAGGACCACCUCCCAAGGCUAAAUACUACCUGAUGACCGAUAGUGAAGCAGUACCGUGAGGGAAAGGUGAAAAGAACCCCGGGAGGGGAGUGAAAUAGAACCUGAAACCGUGUGCCUACAACCGCUCAGAGCCCCUUAUGAGGGUGAUGAGGUGCUUUUUGUAGAACGAGCCAACGAGUUACGGUAUGUAGCAAGGUUAAGUACUUAAGGUACGGAGCCGAAGGGAAACCGAGUCUGAAUAGGGCGACUAGUUGCAUGCCGUAGACCCGAAACCGGGUGACCUAUCCAUGGCCAGGUUGAAGCGAGGGUAAAACCUCGUGGAGGACCGAACCACGUUGCUGUUGAAAAAGCAUGGGAUGAGCUGUGGAUAGCGGAGAAAUUCCAAUCGAACCCGGAGAUAGCUGGUUCUCUCCGAAAUAGCUUUAGGGCUAGCGUCGAGUAUGAGUAGUGGAGGUAGAGCACUGAAUGGGCUAGGGGGCAUAGCGCUUACCGAACCUUAUCAAACUCCGAAUGCCACAUACUUUGAGCUCGGCAGUCAGACUACGAAUGAUAAGAUCCGUGGUCAAAAGGGAAACAGCCCAGAUCGUCAGCUAAGGUCCCAAAGUGUAAGUUAAGUGGGAAAGGAUGUGAGAUUUCUAAGACAACUAGGAUGUUGGCUUAGAAGCAGCCAUUCAUUAAAAGAGUGCGUAAUAGCUCACUAGUCGAGAGAUCUUGCGCCGAAAAUGUAACGGGGCUAAACUUACCACCGAAGCUACGGGCUUGAACUAAGUUCAAGCGGUAGGAGAGCGUCGUAACCGGGCUGAAGUCGUACCGUAAGGAGCGGUGGACUGGUUACGAGUGAGAAUGUUGGCAUCAGUAGCGAGAUGUGGGUGAGAAUCCCACAGGCCGAAAACCUAAGGUUUCCUCAGGAAGGUUCGUCCGCUGAGGGUUAGUCGGGACCUAAGCCGAGGCCGAAAGGCGUAGGUGAUGGACAACUGGUUGAUAUUCCAGUACCACUACCAUCGUUAUUAUCGAUGGCGUGACGCAGGAGGAUAGUGUGUGCUAGCUAUUGGAUGCUAGUCUAAGCGUUUAGGCAGUGAGAGUAGGCAAAUCCGCUCUCAUAAUGCU
rnacentral:rRNA from 1 species